AGUGGCCACACUCGACAGGAGCACCGUCGUCGGGAUUAACGGCAGUUACGACAUCGGAGUAACAGGAGGGGAUGUCAUACUCAGAUACAAUGUCCAGUGCUCAGAUCCCGGUCCUUCAAGUAGUGCUACACCCCUAGUACCUGAUGCUUGUGAAGGCGCAGAGCUGACAUCCUCCACAUGGAUAAGUCAAACACCUAGCCCAGCUUCAUCACAGGAGGCAGCAAAUGUGCA